UAGAUAAAAAACCAAUGCCCUCCGGGGCUCCUUGGUGAUUCAUGAUAACUCAACGAAUCGCAUGGCCUUGCGCCGGCGAUGGUUCAUUCAAACUUCUGCCCUAUCAACUUUCGAUGCUAGAGUAGUGGUGAGUGCACCCAUUCCCCGCGGGAAUAGCCCAGCUAACUUCGCCGCAGGUCUAGUAUGGUGUCAACGGGUAACGGGGAAUUAGGGUUCGAUUCCGGAGAAGGAGCCUGAGAAACGGUGAGUCUCCGCGAGUCUCGGCCGGUCCGGCAGCCACUAACGUUCGACCAGGCUACUACAUCCAAGGAGGGCAGCAGGCGCGCAAAUUACCCAAUCCCAACACGGGGAGGUGUAAGUUUAACUACAUGAGUCCCUUAAGAUUAAUCGCUAACAUGACUUUAGAGUGACAAUAAAUACUGAUACAGGGCUCUUAUGGGUCUUGUAAUUGGAAUGAGUACAAUCUAAAUCCCUUACCGUCGUUAGGGGAUCAGACCAGUCGGCCCACGGCCGGCUAUGCGCUCCUCUGCGGGGAGGUCGACCGGAGACGGCGGCCGACUCGAGACCUCCGCGGAGGCUCAGAGGCUAAACGGGCGCAGGCGGCGAUCUCGCCACCCAUGAUAUAGUCCAAUUCCCCCGGUGUCUCCGGGCGGGCCCAAUGUAACGAGGAACAAUUGGAGGGCAAGUCUGGUGAAGUCAGCUGUCGCACCAGAAAUCAGGGGCUCCUCGAGCUCCUUAGUCGCACCGUGCGGCGAGGUGUUUGGUACGGGGAAAGACCGCGGGACUCCGCGUCAAUCCCGCGACGAGCGAAACGCCGUCGUAACGCGCGCCAAGAUGCCGGUCAUCGCCCCGGGGAUGACUUGAGGGACGUGCUACCAUCGUCUCGCAGGGGACGCCACGCCGCCACGACCGGCGGAGUGGGGGGACCUCGUCCCCAUUGUCAGUGGCCAGCAGCCGCGGUAAUUCCAGCUCCAAUAGCGUAUAUUAAAGUUGUUGCGGUUAAAAAGCUCGUAGUUGAACUUUGGGUCUGGCUGGCCGGUCCGCCUCACCGCGUGCACUGGUUCGGCCGGGCCUUUCCUCCUGGGGAACGGCAUGCCCUUCACUGGGCGUGUCCGGGAACCAGGACUUUUACUUUGAAAAAAUUAGAG
rnacentral:misc_RNA from 1 species